ACCUUAGAGACCAACUAAGUUUGUUCUUGGUAUGAGCUUUCGUGUGCAUGCACACUUCUUCAGAUAACAUGCACACGAAAGCUCAUACCAAGAACAAACUUAGUUGGUCUCUAAGGU